AGAGAUGUGUGAUGACGCAUAUCAAUAAGCGGAGGAAAAGAAACUAACAAGGAUUCCCUUAGUAACGGCGAGUGAAGCGGGAAGAGCUCAAAUUUGAAAUCUUCAAGGUUUUACCUUGACGAAUUGUAGUUUAAAGAAGUGUUUUCUGUUGGAGUUUUGGUAAAAGUUCUUUGGAAUAGGACAUCAUAGAGGGUGAGAAUCCCGUAUUUGACCAUUACUUUCCAGCUGUGUGAUACACUUUCAAAGAGUCGGAUUGUUUGGGAAUGCAGUCCAAAAUGGGUGGUAAAUUUCAUCUAAAGCUAAAUAUUGGCGAGAGACCGAUAGCGAACAAGUACCGUGAGGGAAAGAUGAAGACGAACUUUGAAAAGAGAGUUAAACAGUACGUGAAAUUGUCAAAAGGGAAGCGUUUGACACCAGUGUUGUUUUUCCGAAAAUCAAUUACGAAUGUUUUGUUUUUAAGGAAGUUAUGACUUCAUCGGCUUGCUUCUUUCUUUACGAAACUUUCUUAAUGCACUUUUCGGUUAACAAGUCAACAUCAAUUUCUUUUGUUGUAAAAGGGUAUGAGGAAGGUGGCUUUCUCUUCGGAGAAAGUGUUUAUAGCCUUGUACCUCUGCAAUCGGAGAGAUUGAGGUCUGCAGCGUAGAUCCUUCGGGGUUAGAUACAUUUGUGCUAAGUUAUAGUCUUUUCAUAGACAACUUGUUGACUAUGAUUAAGUCUUGUAGCUUACUCGCUUAUGCUAUUUUACCUACGCUUAGGAUGUUGAAGAUGUAGCACAUCAU
rnacentral:rRNA from 1 species